ACACUCCUGCGGGAGGCAGCAGUGGGGAAUAUUGCACAAUGGGCGCAAGCCUGAUGCAGCCAUGCCGCGUGUAUGAAGAAGGCCUUCGGGUUGUAAAGUACUUUCAGCGGGGAGGAAGGCAAUACGGUUAAUAACCGUGUUGAUUGACGUUACCCGCAGAAGAAGCACCGGCUAACUCCGUGCCAGCAGCCGCGGUAAUACGGAGGGUGCAAGCGUUAAUCGGAAUUACUGGGCGUAAAGCGCACGCAGGCGGUCUGUCAAGUCGGAUGUGAAAUCCCCGGGCUCAACCUGGGAACUGCAUUCGAAACUGGCAGGCUUGAGUCUUGUAGAGGGGGGUAGAAUUCCAGGUGUAGCGGUGAAAUGCGUAGAGAUCUGGAGGAAUACCGGUGGCGAAGGCGGCCCCCUGGACAAAGACUGACGCUCAGGUGCGAAAGCGUGGGGAGCAAACAGGAUUAGAAACCCGGGUAGUCCCA
rnacentral:rRNA from 1 species